CGAAAUUCAAUUUUAUUCAUUUUUUACUCACCUUAUCAAUUCCAUCCAUGUGAUUAUACCUUACAAAAAUACAAAAAAAUAACAAAAAAAUCCAUAACAAGUUAAAUCCCUAAUAUUCUCUUAUCCUAAUAAACUUUAUCUCAACCAACUCACACCCCUACCCCUACCUCACCACCCCUAUCCCUACCCCUACCCUUUAACCCCCUCCCCAUGUUUCUUUUCUACGGGGAAUAUAGGGAUAUAUAUACAGAGAGAGAAUACAGACUCGAGGAAAUGAAUAAAAAACUCACAUACACACCAUUGAAAGGGACAGAAUAGGGAACUUCUCCAUUUUUUCCUUUCUUUAGAGAACAAUAUCACGCACACCCAGCCAGAUAGUUCCCUUUUUCUUCAUCAUAAUCACACAAUUUCCACACACUAAAAACACACACUGAAAUCUCGAUCUACACGGGCAACAACAAACAGAGAGAGACGAUGGCUGAUUCUUGUUUUCUCAAUUAACAGUAAAUACACUAUCACACACUCACGCACGUACACAGUGGAAAGCGAGAGAGAUUUGAAGGAGAUCGAGAGAGGGGAAUAGAGAUGAGAGAGCUAAUCGAAGAUUGAGGGAGAGUGAAGAGAAAAAUUCAGAGAGGGUGAACUAGGGAGAGAACAACUAGGGAGGUUUGAACGGAGAGAGUGAAAAAGGGUGUUGGUCCAUUUUUCCAGCAAAAUCUUUGCUGGAAUUGACCCGUGGUUACUAGUUCGGCCCCAAACCUGUUGGGAAAAUGCCAAAACAACAUCGUUCUUUUCCGUUCUAGAUUUGGUGGAAAAAUAGUCAAAUUUAGUUUGGAUUUUUUUUCUUGUAACAUCGAGUGGUGCGAGACUAUUUGGGGUAGCGUUUGGUCAUCGUUGAGGUUCUUCGAUCGAGGUCCGGUGCGGCUGAGGAUUUGUCUUAGCAUGGUUUUUCUGUUCUGAAUCCAGCAGCAUGUUUCUCAAUCGAAUAUGACGGUUUUAAGCCCAAUUGAGGUUUAAUUCUUCUUCCGUUUAUCUUAAAUCUAUUGAUGCUAUGAUUAUAUGAUUCGUAUGUGGUUGAUGACACAUUUUUGAUUAUGUGAUUGAACAAUUCUAUUUAUUUUGGAUCGAUUGAUCAAUUCUAUAUUAAAAUUGGUUAAUUGGUUGAGAAUGACUCAAAUUCGUUUUGGGGUAAAUGAAAUAGAGUCCGGAAUUGAGAAAUUGAUAAAAGGGUGAAUUUAGAUUAAUUUUAGUUUAUUGUUGUUUUAUUUAAUAGGAAUAAAUGUCAAGUUUGUUAACUCAACCAUAUUCUAGUCCGAAAGCUUAAUAGGCAAAAGUUUAGGUUUGGGUAGGCAAAUUUAUGAAUUGUUGAGUAAUGUGGAAUGUUUGUUGAAUAGUUCUAUUUUUCUCGCAUUCGAAAGAUGUAUUCAUUUAACCGGGGAAUGCCCCGUGGUCAUUUGUAUUUAUUCACUGAAGAAUUCCCCAAAGUAUUGUGUAUGCAAAGGAUGCUCGUGAUCAAGGCCCGAAACAUCGGGUGAAGAAUUGGAGCGUAGUUUAGGAUUAGCGUAGGUUAGAAUAGGAUUUAUAUUUUUUGCAUUUUUCUAUGUUGGACUGUAUAAUUGGAUUGGACACUAUAUUUUUGAUUAUUUUACUUUGUUUGUUUGAUUGAUUGUUUAUGUGUUUUAGUGUGGUUUAUACAUUUUAUAAUGUCAAAUUAACUGAUAUACCCCACCAAGCGACCGUGGUCGAACCAUGGAAUCGAGGGGUGCCUAACACCUUCCCCUCAGUCAACAGAAUUCCAUAGUUGGAAUCUCUGUUUGCAAAUCAGUUUUAAAAAAGCAAAUCAUUUUUGAAAAAGAAUCUCCAAAGGUGACUUGACACAUUAAAUUUAUGUCAAGUGGCGACUCUGAAUAUAAUUGUGGUUUAAAAAAGCAAAUCAUUUUCAUCUUUUGUCACUUUAAUAAUAAAAAUCUUUUUUGCACUUUAAAAUCAUAUUUUUGGUUAAAAAAAAGGUGUGACAGCCCUGGCAACUCCGUUGGGGAAUUUUCAGAACUCGAUCUUAUUUUUUGGAGUUGCUUGGUUUGGUAUUAUGAUUGUAUAGACGUUGUUUGAGUUAUUGUUUGUUUUUGUUUUAUCAUUUUUUAGUGUUUACGUGCUCUGUGUUUAUAGAAUUCCACUUAUGUGUUACUGCUUUAUAUCUGGAAUCAUUUGCAUAACUCGAGUUAAUUUUUCUGCAACAAGUUAUAUAGUACACGCUGUGUACACGACCUAUAGUUGGGUCACCUUUAUUUUAGGAGAAAGAGCUGUCGGCUAGUAUGGAGUAGGUGGAAAGUAAUCGUAACCACUAUUAACCUACGCUCCCCCGAACAACCUUGUUAAUGGACCCCAGUGUAGGUCAACCUUUAGGUCAUGCUUAUCUGCAUUAUAUUGAGGCCUAGCAGGACCCACAUGACCCUUUGUAGGAGACUUAUCUCUAAAGCAUCUCUACGUGCUAAAUGUUGCAUCUUUGAGAGUAAUAUGAUCAUUUAACAGUUUGAUUUGGGGAAAACAUGUGCUAGAAUUAAAGGAAAGUGUGUAGGCAAGAAAAAAUUUAAAAAAAAGGAAAAAAGAGAGAAGGUGAAUCAAAAAAGAGUUUCGUAGUUGUUUAGAGUUUUUAUGGCUUUUAUUUUUCAUAUCCAAAAAAUCAAAAGUUUCAUAGUUGUUUAGAGUUUUUAUGGCUUUUGUUUUCCAUAUCCAAAAAAUAAAAAAAAGGUUUUACCUUAUGCACUCAUUUGUCAAAAAAAAAAAAAAACAUCAAAAAGAUAUUCCCUUUAUCUCCUUUAGCAUAAUUUCAUAAUUCAAAAUUCCAAAAAGAUUUUUUUAGGAGAUUUUAUAAAAGAAAAUUUAAAAAAUGGUAGUAAUUGUGUCCAUUUCAUAAAAUGAAAAUACCAAAAAGAUUUUUCUUUCGAAGUUAUUGGUGUCAUUUUUAGACGAAAUGUCUAAUUAGAAAUCCCAAAAUAUUUUCUUGACGUUGUUCAUCGUCUGUCUUUAGUCGUGUCUCCUAAGUUAGGUUGAGUUGGUUGUUUAACCUUUUAUUGUCCAAUCUGGUGAACUACGCAUCCCUGAUUCUCCUCUCUCGGGAGUGAGAUACGUAGGUAGCCUAUUGUGGGUUCAGGGAUCUUAUUUAAAAAAUUUCAAAAAGAUUUUCUUCAUUCUUCAUUUAGAGUAGGUGUUCAUAUACAUUUCUAAAAGAAAACUACAAAAAGAUUUUUCUUUAAUAGUUUCAGGUUUCUUUGUCAUAUGAAAUUCAAAAUAAAAUAAAAAAAUUUCUUUGGUAAUCAUAGGUUUCAUGUUGUAUAGGAAUAUGAAAAUUCAAAAAGAUUUUGUUUCACUCUUCAUUUAGAGUAGGUGUCAUAUACAUUUUUAAAAGAAAACUACAAAAAUAUUUUCCUUUAGUAGGUUCAAAUCUCAUUUUUGUAUGAAAUUAAAAAUCGAAAACCCGAAAAGAAUUUUUCUUUGGUAAUCAUAGGUUUCAUUUUGUAUAGAGAUUUAAACCUAGAAAAUGCAAAAAAAGAUUUUCGUCAAUUCUUUUGACAUGUUAUUACUUUUUUUUCUUCUAAAGUUUCAAGAAAAAGAAAAAGAGCUUUAUUGGCCCAUUUGCGGUCAAAUGUCAUGAACUAUGCACACCUGAUUCUCCUCUUUCAGGAGUGAGAUAUGUAGGCGUCCUUUUCAGAUUCGGUGAUCUUUUCAAAAAGAAAAAAAAGAGAAAGAUUUUGAGAAAGUGUUGUACUCUAACACAUUUGUUAUCCCUUGUUCAGUUAGUUUAAGGUGGUUGGUUUGUGGCUUUCUGGCUGGUCCUCCACAUUACACCAAGUCUAAGGAAGAGUUAGUCAUGUCCAACAAGGAUAUAGAAAGUAACCUCAUGGAUCAAACAAAGAGUCAGGAAAAUGAGAGUUUAAAGGAAGAGAAUUUGAGACUAAGACAGGAAAUGAUGGAAAUGUAUCGAGCUUGGGCCAGUGGGCUGCCUCCUCCUCCAUUACCCACUAUUGACCCUGCAAAUAUCUUAAGUUUUCUAUCAUAAUUGCAAAGUCAGUUUCCUAUUGUUGUUGACGCACCACAAUAUGCCUUCAAAUUCAUUCCUCGUCAGCUUCAUCCCAAUACUUCCACCACUCCUUCUCUAGCUCCUCAGUAUAAGCCUACUAUAUUCACAACACCACAUACCAUCUGUGAUUUUGCUGCUCAACCCUCUACUGAGGCCUCCACAUUGGCUAUCUGCCCAAUGGUUAUAGUUUCCCAGGCCGCUAGAGAAACCAUGUUCAAUACUCUUGAUGAUCAUUUCUAUACUCUUGAACCUACUUUUAAGUUAACUGGACCACCAAAAUUUCUUACCAAGAAGUUUGACAUGGCAGAAGAGCGAAUGGUUGAAAAAAUGAAUGGUACAAAAAAUGCUAUGAAAAGUUCCCUAGGACUCUCGGGUAAAGAAGAUGUUUCUUGUAAAGACUAGGGCAUGUUUUAAAGUGUCAACCUUCUUCAAAGCUUUGAGAAAUCAAAAUUUGUCUGUGGAACAUUUGGGACAAUACUGCAAUCAAUCAAGUGAAAUUGAAGGAAAGAAGAAGGAAAACACACCUAUUGUCAUGCCAGGUCCAAAACAGAGUUUGAGAGGUCCAACCCACCAGUACUAUCAGCCUCAGUGCCGAGCUUACAUAUUAUAUCCACAUAACCACUUGCAACAAAGUUCCUUUCUCUAAAAUCCAAGAAAUCCCAUUCCACUCCCUCAAUAAACUUUGAACAAUGCAUAGUCGUAUGCUCAUCCGUCUUCCUAUCCAUAAUGGCGUGUCCCGGUCCCUCAACUUCGUCCUUGACCUCCAAAAAUUUACCAAGGAACCUCUAAAUCCAAGUUUCAUACAAGGCCAUAGUUUCCAAUGAGGAGGAAGACAAAGGAUAAUUUCACGCCAAUUGGGGAGUCCUAUACCAGUUUGUUCCAGACAUUGAGACAAGGGGGCAUGAUUACUCCUAUCCCUGGGUAUACUUCCGAUCCACAUUAAAUUUUUUUUAUCCUAAUGUAUGAUGUGCUUAUCAUUCUAAUAUGCAAGGUCACAGUACUGAAGAUUGUCGUAUUUUGAAAAGAGAAAUAGAGAAAAUAAUUCAAGAAAAAAUGAUUGUGGUGCAAAACAUUGGCACCUCAACCGUCCCACAGAGUUUUUCGCCAGUACGUGGUACUGCACAAUAUAUGGGAAGCAAUGAGUUAAUCAUGAGGAUCCUAAUACAAGAAUCAACUACUAAAAACGAAAGUAACAUUAAGAACCUAAAAAUCAGUAACAAUAAAAAAGGAAAACAACACAUAGAAGAAAAGAGAUUAAGUAGAAAUGCAUGAAAAUGAAAAGGAUAGGUAGUGAGACCCUUACUAUCACCAAUGAUUAGCACAAGAAUGCGUAUCAAACAUUCAAACACACCUCACCAAUGGUAGUUCAAGCCUCACUCUUAGGUGAACCAAAGGAAUUCACAUUCCCCAAUCAUACCUUUCUUGCCAAUUGAUCAACACAAGCGAAAUCCAUCUAAUGUAUUAAUCCCUAGUUUCGAUGUCUUUUUCAAGACCUACACUAAGAUGGAUUUUCCAAGCCAUACACUAAGGAAAUAAAAUACAAUUUGAGUUUUAACCAAUCCAUUAUAAUAAAAAAAGAAGCUAAAAUGUCUAUUUAUACUUAUUACAACACAAUGACUAAAAUGCCCUUAAUAAGGGAUUCAAGAAAGGCUCCUCUUGAGUGUAUUUUAUAGUGUAAAAAGUCUACCAUGCCCUUAAUGUGAGGCGCCUAUGAUGUGUAAGAUCCAUCCUCCUUUCUUCACUUGGACAAGGCUUUGAAAAGGCUCCAAAAGGUUUUUAAUCACUUGCACCAUCUGAGACUUGAACCUCCUACAAGCCCUUGUACUCUUUGAGCUCUUUAUACUUGUAUCAUUCUCUCCAUCUUGAAAGAAAUUUGUCCUUAAAUUCACACCUUGCAAAAAUCAAUGAGAGGAACAAAAAGCACACAAUCCUUAUGAUAGGAGGGUUGGCAUUUGUACCAUAAUUAUAUGAACACACCAAGGGGGUAUACUCUUGGAAUAUAACCAAUAAUCAUUUGCUAUGAUCAUAAAACACUUAGUACAAGUAUUACAAAGGACAUGGCUAAGAUAGAUAUAAAAAAGAGAGGAGUGCAACCUGAAAUCACCAUCACAUAUAUCAACAAGCCAAGGUUGUUCACAUUUGAAAUACAUCCAAAAAUACUUUGUAUGUGACAUGAAAAACAUAGUAUGAAUGGAACAAAGGAGGUGGUUUUGGACAAUAUCAAGAGAUAAGGAAACUACAAUGGUAUUAAUGGCUUUACUUUCCCAAAAGGUAAGACUGCCUUUGGCUAAGGAACUAUAAGAUACAUUUGUUUCAUUACCUCUACAAAGAACUUCAUCAAAUAUGGUUCCACUAUUGAUCCUAACGUCCACCUUACCCACAUAUCAUUAUCAUUCAACAAGGAAUCUAACCACCAAACCUACUACCUCUAUACAUUACUUCAAAAUUAACAUGGUUAUCAUCAUAGGUAAAGAGGUAGUAUAGGAAGGAAUCAAGUAUGAAGACUUCACGCCGAGGGGGUGCACUUUUAAAAUACAACCAACAAUCCCUUGUUUUGACAAUGAAACAUUUAGUAUGAGCAUUACAAAGGAUAGGGAUAUGAUGAAUAUCAAGGAGGAAUGAGCACAAAUAGAGACAGUUCCUUUCCCACCCCACUAGUGCACCGAGAUCAAAUGGAUAAAGUAGACAAGGGCAUAAGCUGAGGAUACUCAUUCCUUUUAGUAGAAUAUCAAGCCCACAAUCACCAAGGCAUUACUCACAACUUUGACAAACACAUGGUCACUAUGAACAAGACUAAAAUUAUGGAUUUCAUCACACAAGUUCAAAGGACCAUAUCCAUUAUCUAGAUCAACAUUACAAACAUCAAUACUAACUUGAAAAUUUUCAAUCAUACUAUUCACAUGUUCAAGUAGUGGACUACAUUCGUGAGUAAGUUGAUCAUCAUUCACAACCUCACUAGUUGUUGGCAACCAUAUACCAAUAUAGACUCACCUUGUUUUUCACAAGGGUCAACUAGUGUGUGAAUACUCCUAUCACUUGGUAAUGUAACCUUAUUCAAGUUUUAAGUGAUAGCACUAGGUGGAAACAAAUCAUUCUUACAAAAAAAUGAUUUUGUCAUCUAAAAGAUCAACUAGUGCUUGCGUACUCACAAUAAGAGCUUGGUUCUUAUGCAACCUAAAAACACCAAGAGUAUCACAAAAGGAAGAUUCAUACACUUCUUCACUAAGAAAAUCCAAAACUACACUACUUUGGCCACUACUAGCCACAUCACAAUAAUUUAAGUUUCUAGGAGUGUAGAAAAUAGCUUUGUUACCUUGUAGAUCAUGGGAAGUGUGUUCUUCACUUGGUUUUGCAUUAUGGAAGCCUUCAUGCUCAGCAUUAUAAGUGAAUAUGUCAAGGUUUUCCUUUGGACUCACUUCUUCAUCACUUAUCCCAAAAUUGAAACUUUCGGCUAAAGGCUUGAAGAGAACUUCCUUGGGCUUCUCCUUGGGGCUUCUAGGGUCUUAAACUUGCACAUAAGAAGAGAAAAUACUAGGCAAAAUGCUAGUAUUUGGGUUAGUUAGUAAUAAGGAUUCUUUGUGGACAAGAUACACAAUCAAACAUUUCUUUCCCUCUCCAACUUCACUACCCGCGGUUUCUCUUUCCCUUUUUCCCUAUUUUCUUCACAUUCCUCUUGUAUCCCACUACUAAGUUUCUCUCCAUCUUGAGGCUUGACCUCAUUCUCCUUGGAUUCUAACUUGUGGAGAGGAGGCAUUGGAUUUGGUUGAUGAUGGGUUUAGAUUUGUGGCAUGGGGUUUUAUAGUAUGUAAGGUUUUUGGUCAAGUGGAUUUGGGACUUGGUGGUUUGAAUUUUGUGGAGGUUUUGGUGGACAUAGUCUAUCAGCCCCCACUUUAAUAAUAAUCAUGUCACCUCUCAUGGAUCCAAAAUCACCUCAUGGAUCCUACAUCACCCUUCAUGGAUCUCAAGUCACCUUUUAUAAGGUCCAAAAUCACCCUUCAAGUCUUGGUUUAGUGCAUCCAACCGAGCCAUCAAGACUCCCAAAACAUCAUUUCCCAAAGGUUGAGAUGUGGUACCUUUGGAUUCCAUUACAAUUUUACCUAACAAGAAGCAAAAAACAACAAAGGAAAAACCUACAAAACGAACAAACACGUUAGUUCAAUAAACGUCACCACACUCGCACUCGGAUCUCAUAUCACACUUGGUCUCACAAGUGUUGAAAACUUGGUAAUACUUGGCAAGUGAAUGAGUGGUGAAUAUGAUUUGGCCCGGAAUCAAUUUUUGUUUGAUAUGACUAAAAAAAAUAAUGUACGGACUUGAACCAACAAACUAUUACGAAUUAAACAUGAGAACAACACAUAAAAAUUGAAGACAUGAAAUAAACUAACUCUAGACUAAUUAUCAGCCUAGUAGGAAGUUACUAGUUUGCUAAUUAGUGGUAGAGUCAACUCAAAAACAACUAGAAACAACAAAUAGAAACUUAGGAAUCUAGUUAAGAACUCAAUUUGGUCGUUUAUAUAAGUGAUGAUGUGGCAGCUUGGAAUUAGGCUUCACUUUUCAAAAUUUUUAACUUCUAAAUUUUUGUUUUCGGCCAAACACUCCUUUAGGGAAGAAGAAUUUCGGUUUUAGAGGGAAAAAUGAAGAUUUGAAGCCUUUUUUAGAGCUUCAAAUGAAUUCAAAAUGGAUUGGUCCCCUCAAGAGUACUUUCAAUUGUACUUGCUUGUCCCCCUUUCCUUUCUGGAAGACUUAUAAUAUGCUAGGGAAUAUUCUUGUACAAACACUUAUUACAGUUUCUUUCUUCUUCCUUUUUGGAUCAAACAAGCUACUUGAAUAUUCUUCUUCAAUAAGAUUUGAAGAUGGUGGAUGAACAAUGUGAAUAUUAAAGAGUUGACCAUGGUUUGACCACUAGGCAAAUAAACCCCAAAUUCAAAUUUUCUUUUAGAUCUAGGUUCCUUUAGCAAAGAUAAGUUCAAAUAUCAAAAAAUCAGCCACAACACACCACAAACAAGGUGUUCACCACGAGAUCCCCCCUCAAAAAGCUUCAAACAAGUUACAACAAUGGUGGAUCUAGCUAAAAAGCAACCAAAUCUUGUUCUAAACUUAGAUCUAGACCCUUUAAGUGCUAGAGAACAAGAAUCUAACACUAGAAACUAUCAAAAAAAGCUAAAAAUUAGUAGAUCUAAGUUGAAAAAUUUGGAUCUACUAUCAAACACAUAAGAUUCAACACUUUUUUUGUAUUUUUUUUUGACUCUAGACUCUUUUUUUGUUGAGAUUUUCUUAGAUUCAAGGCUUAGAGUUGUGGGAACAACUCUAAUACAUGGAUUUGAUACCAAAUGAUACAAGAAUCAACUACUAAAAAUGAAAUUAACCUUAAGAACCUAAAAAUCAAAAACUAUAAAAAAGGAAAACAACACAUAGAAGAAAGGAGAUGAAGUAAAAAUGCAUGAAAAUAAAAAGAAUAGGUAAUGAGAACCUUAAUAUCACCAAUGAUUAGCACAAGAAUGUGUAUCUAAUAUUCAAACGCACCUCACCAAUGAUAGUUCUAACCUCACUCUUAGGUGGACCAAAGGAAUUUACACUCCUCAAUCACACCUUUCUUACCAAUUGAUCAACACAAGUGAAAUCCAUCAAAUGUCUUUAUCCCUAGUUUCAAUGUCUUUUCCAAGAUCUACACUAAGAUGUCUUUUCCAAGCCCUACACUAAGGAAAGAAAAUAUACUUUGAGUUUUACUCAAUCCAUUCAUCAAAGUCUAAUGAAAAGGGAAGCUAAAAUAUCUAUUUAUACUUAUUACAAGGGCUUCAAGAAAGGCUCCUCUUGAGUGUUAUUUUAUAGUGUAAAAAUUCCAUCAUGCCCUUAAUGUGAGGUGCCUAUGGUGUGUAAGAUCCCUCCUCCUUUCUACACUUGGACAAGGCUUUGAAAAGGCUCCUAAAGGCCUUCAAUCACUUGAACCAUCUGAGACUUGAACCUUCUACAAGCUCUAGUACUCUUUGUGCACUUUAUGCUUGUAUCAGAUCUAGAACUUAUUUAUUGAAGGGAAUUUAUCUGAUCGUGGUGGAAGUUGUUGUCAUGCUAUGGAAACCAGUGGCUAAGUUGUUAGUAUGAGCAAUUGAGAAGUCACCCCCCUCUCUACUAGAAAGAGGUCUGGUAGUGUGUUUUGUUUUCUUUUUUAUUUUUUGAAUCAUUCCAGGUUUGUUGUUUGGGAUCUAUCUUAUUUUGUCCCUUUGUCGUUUAUGUUCAAACCCUUCUAUCUUUUAUCUCAACUAAAUGAAGUAUCCCUUUCCUUUUGUGUUUUAUAUAUGUGUUGUUUAUUUUCUUUACAUAGUACAUUUUAUGUUGAUUCUAUAGAUAUGACAUGCUAGCGGAAUUUUUAGUCAAAUCUUAAAAUCCAGUUUAAGGACGAACUUUUAAUCAGAGGGCUAAAGUCAGAAAAAACAUUUGAGAAAAUUGGUAGGGUGUUGAAUAAUUUGGUGACAAGUUGAAGCUUUUUUUUUUCAAAAUUAAGGUAAUUAUUUUGAGAAUGAAAAGAAUAACUUGGUCAUCAAUUGAAAAGUAUAGCUCAAUCAGGUCAAAUAGUAGAUGUGUGAUCCCUAUAUCAAGAGGAGAAGAAAGAUAAUUAGCUCCAUGAAAGCAUAGAUAAUUUGAUGUGAGGUAUGUACAACAAACAUAGAGUUCUAUGUUUGACAAGUGUAGAAGAAAAGUGGCACAUAUGCUCAGUUAAAGUUAAUGCUAUAAAAGAUAUCACAAAUGAACUUCAUCUUUCACUUUCAUUUUGUAUGAUGUGUACUUGCAUUUUUAAGGAUUGAUAUGACGAAGAUAUUUCAUUCUGCUAUCCAAACAUUGUGUCAUCCUUUGCUUACCCCAUUUGAUUUUUAGUCCUAUUUUCCUUUAUACCCCUCUUUUGGAAUCAAGAUAGAGUCAGCAAGGUUCAAAAGAGAAGGUGGUGAGCAAAACAAUAGGGUCAGAAAGGUUUCAAAAAGAAAAAAAGAGAUAAAAAUGUAUCCAAAAAGAAAGGAAAAAAAGAGUGUCAAGAAAAAAGAGUUAGAAAAAAGUUUCAAAAAGAGUCCAUAAAAAAAGAAAAAAUAAAAAAACAGAGUCAAGCAAAGGAAUAAGUUGUCAGAACUAUGGGUGACCUAAUUCACCUCUCUCGGAGGUGAGAUACGUAGGCUGCCCUACUCUGGGCUCGGUCCAAACAAAUAAAUAAUUUAGAAUUAUCCAGUCAAAAGAAACUAGGGCAUGAGUUAAUCCUCAUUUUUUGAGUCAAUUCCAAAAGUUGUAAGUACUACCACACUUCAAGUGUCGUUUGAGCCGCAUGACAUCCUUUCUUUGUAACUCUAUCCAAAAGUCAAGUUACAACCAAUGAAAGACCUUCAGAUCAAUCUUUGAGAAUAUUAAGGCUAAGCAUGCAGUGGAUAUGAUGAUGCAUUUUGGGUACUAUUUGUCUUCCUCAGUAUAAAGAAUCAAGAGAGAAAUAAAAAUGAGAAAGUCUUAUUGGUGAAAACCCUCAUGGGCAUCGUAAGUCGAGAGAGAAUGAAAUAAGAGUCUUAUUGGUGAAAACCCUCACAGGAAUUGUAAGGUGAUGGUAAGUUGAGAGAAAUAAAAAUGAGAGAGUCUUAUUGGUGAAGAUCCUCACUGGCAUCAUAAGACGAUGGUGAACUGAGAGAAAAGUGAGAGAGGCUUGUUGGCGAAAACCCUUCAAAGUGUCACUAGCUGAAUGAGGUCUUAAAUGCAAUUGACCUAAGGAAGCAACUCAGUUUCAAGGCCAUUAACUUAAUCCAAAUGCAUGGCAUAAUCGUUAGAGUUGACUGUCAUUUUUAGAUAAAUUUUUUUAUUUCUUCGUUUAAAAUAGGACAUUUAUUUUCUUUUCUUUCUUCUCUUUAUUUUUAUUUUAUUUUCUUGAGUCAGUUAUCCAAAUAAAAAAAUCAUUGUCAUUUUUCCUCUUGUCUUUGAGUCAAGUCCAUGUCAAAACAAGUGAAAAAAGAUUUCAAAAUUGGCUACCAGCUUCUUCAAUUAUACAAAGCAAUACAGAAAGGCCAGAACAUGAAAUAGACAUGAUUGUGAUUCGAAGUAAGGCAAGCAAAAAGUUUUGUCAACAGACAAGUCUGGGAACUCAUAAAAAUACCAAGGUUCAAAGGGUUUAUCUGAGGAGCAUGGCAAAGAAAAGAUACUGUGGUUGUUUCAGAGUCACUCUUAAUAAUAUGAGUUUGGGUCAAUGAUGCAGCAGGUCAGUGACAUAUGCUAAUGGUUGGAAGAAAGGUUAAAUGUGAUGAGAGCAAGAGCGAUUUGCCAUGAAAGUUAAAUCCACAAACCAACCACUAUAUUUUUAUACUCACAAGUUUUCUUUGUAUGAAAUAGAGACACAAGUUGUCUUCAAAUGAAGGAUUUCAAUGCCUAAACAUCAAAGGCCGUAAUAUUCUCACUUCUACAAAUACAAGAGGCAAUGUUUCUGCACAGGUUUCGUAAUAAAAACCAUGGUAAAACUCAUAAUUCAAUAUCCCUAGUAGACAUACUUACUUGUCCAGGAGACGCAUUUCCUUAGGUAAUUCAAGUGAUAUUUGUAAGGAGACACAUUUUCUUGUAUGAGUAAUUUAAAUGAAAUUUGUAAGGAUAUAUAUUUCCUUGUGAAAUUCAAGUGGCAUUUGUAAGGAGACACAUUUUCUUGUCUGGAUAGUUUAAGUGGUAUUUGCAAAGAGAUGCGUUUCCUUGUAUGAGUAAUUCAAGCAACAUUAAUAAGGAGACACACUUUCUUGUUUUGGGUAAUUUAAGUGACAUUUGUAAGGAAACGCACUUUCUUGUUUGGGUAAUUCAAGAAACAUUUGUAAGGAGACGCAUUUCCUUAUUUUGGGUAAUUCAAGUGAAUAUUUGUAAGGAGACACACUUCCUUGUUUGGGUUAUUCAAGUGACAUUUGUAAGGAGACGCACUUCCUUGUUUGGAUAAUUCAAGCGGCAUUUAUAAGGAGACACACUUCCUUUUUUGGGAAAUUCAAGAGGCAUUUGUAAGGAGACACAAUUUAUUGUUUGGAUAAUUCAAGAAUUAUUUGCAAGGAGACACACUUCCUUAUUUGGGAAAUUCAAGUGACAUUUGUGAGGAGACACAGUUCCUUGUUUGGGUAAUUCAAGCGUUAUUUGUGAGGAGAUGCACUUCCUUGUUUGGAUAAUUCAAGCGGUAUUGGUAAGGAGAAACACUUCCUAUUUUGGUAAUUCAAGCGGCAUUAGUAAGGAGAAGCACUUCCUUGAUUGGAUAAUUUGAAUUUUACUUGUUAGUUGAUGCACUUCCUAACUUAAUUAUUGAUUCCUAGAAGAUGUACUUCCUAGUUGAGUCAGUCCCCUUGAUUCCUAGAAGAUGUACUUCCUGGUCGAGUCAAUCCCCUUGAUUCCUAGAAGAUGUACUUUUUGGUCAAGUCAUCCACCUUGAUUCAUAGAAGAUGAAAUUCCUGGUCGAGUCAGUCCCCUUUAUUCCUAGAAGAUGUACUUCCUGUUUAAGUCAUUUCCCUUGAUUCCUAGAAGAUGUACUUCCUAGUCGAGUCAGUCCCUUUGAUUUAUAGAAAAUGCACUUUCUAGUUGAGUCAUUGCACUUAACCCUUAGGAUACACACUUCCGUGUUAGUUUUCAUUUGUCAGGUGACACACUUUUUUAACUUAAACUUUUAUCUCUAGAAGACUCACUUUCUAGUCAGAAUUCCUAACUUUAAUUCUUAGGAGAUGCACUUCCUAAUCUUGGUCAUUUAAUUUUAAUCUCAAGAGAUGCAUUUCUUGGUCAGAGUCUUGAUUUAUGAUUGCAACAUACAAGUAGUUAUGAUGUGACUUUACAAAAGUCCUCUGACGAUAAUCUGGGGCAAAAAUAAUUUUAAUUCUUAUUGUUCGGAACUUUUCUUUUCUGGCAAAUGGAAUCUCUCUUUAUAAUAAUAUUUGUAUGGAAUAAUUUUUUUUAAGUUUUGAUGUGAUUUCAGGAGCCCGCCUGAAGAACAGGAAAAUAAAUGAAAAGUCAACCAACAAGGUGAAGAAGUUGAAAGUCAACAGAUUAAAAAAUAGCAAGUCAGGAGCCCACCUAGAGAAUAGGGUGAAGAAAUUGAAAGUCAAAAUUUAAAAAUAGAAAGUCAGGAGUCCGUCUGGAGAAUAAGGUGAAGAAAUUGACAGCCAAGCAACAAGUUGAAGAAAUUGCAAGUCAGGAGCUCGCCUGGAGAACAGGUGAUGAAAUUGUAUGUCGGAAGCCCGCCCGGAGAACAAGGUGAUGAAACUUAAGUCAAGAGUCCAGAGAAGCUUCAUAGAUAAGACUUUUGUAAUUUUAUUUAUCUUUUAACUUGUAAUUUUUAUUUUUGAUGUUACGACAGAUCCGCGGACCGGAACCUCUAUAGGACCACACUGGACUCUCCAAUUCGAUCGUUCUUCUUUCUUUUAUAUCUUUCUUCGAAUAAUGGUCGGAUCAAAAUUUGGUAUCGUUGUCUACUUUUUUGUCUAAAAAUAAUGUGUUUACACCCAAAAAGGGACAUGAUGUAGACACCUAAUUUUGUCACUCCCGAAGUUCAAUUUUAUUCAUUUUUGCCUCACCCUAUCAUACACUCCCACCUAUGUGAUUAUACCCCACAAAAAUACAAAAAAAUAACAAAAAAUUCAAUAAAUCCAUAACAAAUUAAAUCCCUAAUAUUUCCUUAUCCUAACAAACUUUAUCUCAACCAACUCAUACCUUUACCACUACCCCACAUCACCACCCCUACCCCUAACCUUACCCCUACCCUUAACCCCCUCUCCCCAUAUUUAUCUUCCAUGUAGAAUAGAGAGAUAUAUAAACAGGGAGAGAAUAUAUAAUCAAGGAAAUAAAUAAAAAACCCACAUACACACCAUUGAAGGGGACACAACAGGGGAACUUCUCCAUUUUUUUCCAUUCUUUAGAGAAUGAUAUAACGCACACACUGCCAAAUAAUUUCCCUUUUCUACAUCAUAAUCACACAAUUUCCAUGCACUAAAAAUAUACAAUGAAAUUCUGAUCUGCACGGACAGAAACAAACAGAGAGAGACGAUGGUUGAUUUUUUUUCUCUAUUAACAGUAAAUACACCAUCAUACACUUAUGCACGCACAUAGUGAAAAGCGAGAGAUAUUUAAAGAAGAUUAAGAGAAGGGGAUAGAGAUGAGAGAGUUGAUCAGAGAUUGAGAAAGAGUGAAGAGAAAAAUCUAGAAAGGGUUAACGAGGGAGAAAACAACCAAAGAGGUUUGAACGAAGAGAGUGAAAAAGGGUGUUGGUCUAUUUUUUUAAAGAAAUCAUUGCCAGAAUUGACUCAUAGUUAAUGUUCCAACAACAAACCUUCUGGAAAAAUUCCAAAAUAACAUUGUUCUUCCCCGUUCCAGAUUCAGUGGAAAAAUAGUCAAAUUUAGUUUGGAUUUUUUUUCUUGCAACGUCGAGUGGUGCGAGAUUGUUUGGGGUUGUAUUUGGUCGUCGUUGAGGUUUUUCGAUCGAGGUAUAGUGUGGUUGGGGAUUUGUAUUAUCAUGGUUUUCUAUUCUGAAUCCAGCAAUAUGUGUCUCAAUCGAAUAUGAUGGUUUGAAGAACAAUUGAGGUUAAAUUCUUCUUCUAAUUCUAUUCUUCUUUCGUUUAUCUUAAAUCUAUUGAUGCUAUGAUUAUGUAAUUCGUACGUGGUUGAUGACACAUUUUUUAUUAUGUGAUUGAACAAUUCUAUUUGUUUUGGAUUUAUUGAUUAAUUCGAUAUUAAAAUUGGUUAAUUGGUUGAGAAUGACUCGAAUUCGUUUUGGGUAAAUAAAAUGGAGGCGAGAAUUGAGAAAUUGACAAAAGGGUGAAUUUAGAUUAAUUUUGGUUUAUUAUUGUUUUGUUUAAUUAGAAUAAAUGUCAAGUUUGUGAACUUGAUUGGAUCAUAUUCUAGGUCGAUAGCUUAAUAGGAAAAAGUUUAGGUUCGGGUAGGCAAAUUUAUGGAUUGUUGAGUAAUGUAGAAUGUUUGUUGAAUGGUUCUCUUUUUCUCGCAUUUGAAAGAUGUAUUCAUUUAGUUGCAGAAUGCCCUAUGGUUAUUUGUAUUUAUUCACUGGAAAAUGUCCUGAAGUAUUGUGUAUGCAAAGGAUGCUUGUGAUCAAGGCCCGGGGCAUCGGGUAAAGAAUUGUAGCAUAGUUUAGGAUUACCGUAGGUUAGAAUAAAAUUUAUAUUUGUAUUAUUAUAUGUUAGAUUGUAUAUGUAACGCCUCAAGAAUACACCCUAUGCAUCACACGGUGCUUACAGUCCCGAGGGACCGUAAGCUAACCCAUGAGCUGGUACCUGCUGUGAGCAAUGGAUAACAUGAUCAUAAAUGCAGAAGAAUAAUGACAUGCCAUAAGGUUUUAAUAACUAAAUUCAAAACUGAAAUAUGAGUUUAUAAAAAUAACUGACUGAAUCUGAUAAAAUAAUGAUAACCUAGAUAACUAACUGUAAUGUCUGAAUACUGAAUACUGACUCUAAUGUCUAAUAAGCCUCUAAAACUGAAUGACUGUGAGGUGAUCGGACAGGUCCCAAUUAACUCCAACUAAGUAGUAACUGAGACAUGAAAUAAAGUAAGCCUGUCCUCAAAGUAUGAGGACUCACCACUGCUACUGCUGAGGAUCUGAUAAGUCUAAUCGCGAGCCGAAAAUUGAGUGUCAGAACCUAUGAUAUAAUACAUCAUAGCACAAAAGAAAAGGUAUGCGAUCAGUACUUUGAAUGUACUUGUAUGAUAAAUAAGGUGUACUGAUAUGCAUGAUUUCAUGAACAAAACUAAUAAUUAACUGAAUAUAUAUGUAAAGCAUGGAGUAUUGAAUAAAGAGCAUGAAAUUUGUAGGUACUGGGAAUAUGUGGAAAUAUUUAAAUACUGAGUAUGCAUGAAUAUCUGUAAAUACUGAGGAUGCAUGACCAAGCAUAUAACAUGAACAGAGUAACAUUUGUAAACUAAAAUACUGAAAUAACUAAAAUCUGUAUGCUUUGGUCAAACAACACUAAGACUGAAUAACAUAACUGGGACUAUAACUGAGACUGUAUCUGAGACUGUGGGAGGUAUCAUUUAACCGACAUUCCCCAAUUUGAGCUAAUCGGGGUCCAAUCUAUAACCCUAAUUGGAAGGGUAAUCAUAUCGUGCCACGAGUACUAACGAUGGGUAUGUGGAUGUACUAAACUUAUUUAAUGUCCAAAGGACUAAGGGUGUUAACCCUGAACUAAAGGGUGACCUCUGCGAGAUAGUCAAGCCUAAUCUGAUAGGUGACUUCUCAUAUCCUACGCUGAUUACGUAGUUCUAGAGUAUAGGGACUGCUACUAAUGACUCUGCCUAUCUGACGGGGAAGCCACCAUCCCUACACUCGCUCGGUGCUAAAUCCUACUCCCAACUAAAAGACACUGAAAUACUAGACUGUUCUGAGUUUAUAUAACUGGUAACUGACUGUUCUGAUAAUGCUCAUAGUAUGUUUUGAAGACUUUUCUGUAAUGUACUGAUACUAGACUAAGUAAACAACUAUAGAUUUCAGGUAUUCAAUACCCCAGGACUCAAAAACAAUAAUAGUAAAAUGAUACUAAAGCUUGAAGGACAAAACAUGAAGGCUUUUAUUUAAAUCAAUCACUCUUGUAGGCAUUUUAUCAAACACUUGUAGUUCAGGGUUUAAAACAAUCAUAGGAAUGCCAUAGAACUUAUAAAAAUAGCAUGAAUUCAACAUAAUAGUACUAAAUUAUGGUUUUAUUCAAUAAAUAAUAAUAUAAAAACAUGGAGGAUUGAAUGAUAUUUUCGAUUGAGAAAGCGGCAGGCCCAAUGAGUUCUCCUAUAGUGCCUCGAAAUAGCAAUUUCAUGGUAACAUGGUAUAAAAUCAAUAGUACGUGAAGGUUCAUGGGCGAAAUUAUAAUUUAAAAUCAAAUAGCUUGUAAAGAUUAUGACUUGUAAAUUAAAAUAGGAUAUUUGGACUUUAUGGAUGAAAUGAAUCCAGGGAUAAACAUCUAACAUACCUGGGAUAGUGAAUUUCUUGAAGUUCUGGGUGAGUUCCUGAGGAUUGAUCUAGAAUUUGAGAGCUAGGGUUUUUUGUUAUUGGAAAAGGGGAUCAUUAAUUUGAGAGAAAGUUGAAUAAAGAAUGAUUAUCUAGGUCAAUUGAGGCUAAAUUUUGUGUUUUAGGACGAGUUUAGGACUUAGGUAAAAGGACCCAAAUACCCUUAUAUGGAUUUAAAACGUAAGCUGAAAACUGACCAUCCCAAUUUUUAGCCUUGGCGCGAUGUGCGACUAUCGUGCCAAGCCACUAGAAAUGUGCAAUUAGGACCUGAACAAACAUCAUGACAUGGAUCAAUCGCAGUAAGCCUUUGGAAUGCCAAUUUGGCUACCUCUGCGAUGCACCAACAUCACAGAGGCCUACUGGAAAUUGCCAAAUUAGAAAUUGGCCUGCUCCGCGAUACGCCAACAUCGCAGAGUAUCACUGGAAAUUGACAAUUGUUAUUUGGACUUUCUUCGUGAUGCGCUAAGGGUAAAAAUGAUGAGGCCUAACAACUGAAACUUAAAAUCACCAUAACUUCUUAUCCGGUUAUCGAAUUUGGGCAAAUUUUAUAUCGUUGGAAAGCUAAUUGAAUUUCCUACGCAAUGACAGGCUCUAAACUGAAAAAUAAUGAGUGUUCCAAAAAUUUUAUAUGCAAAUACUCAUGUAUUAAGACUUAGAUUAUGCUAGGGAAAUACAGGGUGUUACAAUAUCUCCCCCUUGGGAUCAUUCGUCCUCAAAAAAACUAGUUAAGCUAAGGAAAACUGCUGGACUUAGCUUAUACAUUGAACAUACAUAUAUGAUGCAUGGAUUACAUGACUGAACUGAUUUGUAAAUAUACGGCUGACGUGAACAUGAUGUGCAACUAAAACUGAGCACGAUAGAGAGAAAUCUUAAGAAGAUUAGUACCUUAUACUGAAUAUGGUUUCGCGGAGAAAAGAUAAGGGUACUUGGUCCAUAUAUCUGCCUCUGAUUCCUAAGAUGCCCCCUCAAUGGACUGAUUCUGCCAAAGAAGUCUAACUAGUGAAACUUCUUUGUUCCUUAGCCUAUGAAUUUGAUGAUUAAGAAUUUCGACUGGAACUUCCUCAAAGGAAAGGCUGUUCGAAAUAUCUAAACUUUCUAAGGGAAUAACAACAGCUGGAUCACCAAUACACUUUCUCAAUAAUAAGAGAUAGAACACUGGAUGUACUGAGGCUAGAUCUGAUGGUAACUUAAGCUCGUAAGCUACCUUUCUGAAAAGACUGAGAAUUUUGAAGCUACCGACAUAUUAAGGACUGAGUUUCCUUUUCUUGAUGAAUCUCUUCACUCCUUUCUUGUGAGAUAUUUUUAAGUAUAUGAAAUCACCGACCUCAAACUCGAGAUCCUUAUCUUCACAUAUGCUUACGAUGUCUGUCGCCUCUAGGAAACCCUAAGCCUUUCUCUGAUCAACUGAACCUUCUUUAACACAUCAAACACUAAGUCAGGGCCUACUACUGCAGCCUCACCUACUUCAAACCAACCAAUUGGAGAUCUAUAUCUCCUACCAUAGAGAGCCUCAAAUUGAGCCAUACGAAUACUGAAAUGAUAGUUGUUAUUGUAUGCAAACUCAAUUAAAGAAAAGUGGUCAUCCCAACUAUCUUUAAAAUCAACUGCGCAUGCUCUCAGCAUAUCCUCAAGAGUCUGAAUGAUCCUUUUUGCUUGAUAGUCUGUCUGAGGGUGAAAGGUUGUACUGCGAUGGAUUUAGGUACCAAGACCCUUUUUGGAAUGCUUUCCAGAAAUGAGAGGUAAACUGGGUACUUCUAUCUGACAUGAUAGAUAAGGGAACACCGUGCAACAUAAAUAACUCUCUGAGAUAGAGUUUGGCACAGUCCUCGAUUGAAUAAGAGGUAUGGAUUGGCAAGAAAUCAGCUGGUUUGGUCACCCUGUCUAUGAUAACCCAAAUAGAAUCAUGCUGAUGACGGGUAUGAGGUAAACCUAUCACAAAAUCUAUGUUCACUUCCUCCCACAUCCAAGUGGGAAUACUAAACUCCUGCAUGGACCCACUAGGUUUUUGGUGCUCAAUAUUUACUUGCUGGCACGUAGAUCACUUAGCCAUAAACUUCUUAAUAUCUCUCUUUAUCCCACUCCACCAAUAGAUCUCUUACAAAUCACGAUACAUCUUAGUAACCCCUAGAUGAAUAGAGUAACGUGCACCAUGCGCUUCUGCAAUAAUUCAUUGCCUCAAGUUAUCUAUACCAGGCACAUAUAGCCAACCCUGACAACGCAACACACCAUCUCCCCCUUGGGAGGAAACCUCCACCUUCUUAUCUCUGAUUGAUUCUUUUAACAUAACCUGACUGGGAUCUCUAUCCUGCUUUUUUUUCACCUCGGAAACUAGAGAUGAUUCUGAGCUACUCUGUACCCACACACUACCUUCUGCUAAGUCGUCUAAGUGGAUACCUAGCCGGGAAAGCUAAAGGACUUCCUGAGCUAACUGCUUCUUACCAUCCUUAACAUGAGCUACACUACCCAUGGACAAUCUACUGAGAGCAUCAGCCACUAUAUUGGCCUUGCCCGGAUAAUACAAAACACUCAUGUCAUUAUCCUUUAAUAAUUCUAACCACCUUCUCUGACAUAAUUCAAAUCUUUCUGAGAGAACACAUAUUGAAGGCUUUUGUGAUCUGUGAACACAUCCAUAUGUACCCUAUACAAGUAAUGCCUCUAUAUCUUUAAGGCGAAUACUACUACUGCUAACUCAAGAUCAUGAGUUGGAUAAUUCUUGUCAUGGGGUCUAAGUUGUUUAGAAGCAUAGGCUAUAACCUUACCUCUCUGCAUGAGGACACAACCCAAACUUACUCUGGAUGCAUUACAAUACAUAACAAACCCAUCUAAACUAUAUGGUAGAGUCAAGACUGGGGCUGAGGUGAGUCGAGUCUUCAACUCCUGAAAACUCCUCGCAGGAAUCUUACCACUGAAACUUAACUUUCUUCUGAGUCAAUCUGGACAUGGGGGAUGUAAUAAAUGAAAAUCCUUCAAUACACCAAUGAUAAUAGCCAGCUAAAACUAUGAAACUCCUAAUGUCUGAUGGAGAUAUGGGUCUAGGCCAGUCUCUCACCACUUUAGGCUUUUGAGGAUCAACUCUAAUGUCAUCACCGAAAAUAAUUUGACCAAGGAAAGCAACUGAUCUUAGCCAGAAUUCACACUUACUGAAUUUAAUGAAUAACUAGUGAGCUCUAAGAGUUUGCAACACUAUUCUAAGAUGGUCUGCAUGAUUAGUUUCUCUAUGGGAAUAAAUAAGGAUGUCAUCAAUAAAGACUAUGAUGAACAUAUCUAAGUGCUUCUUAAACACUCGGUUCAUCAAGUCCAUGAAGGCUGCUGGGGCAUUCGUGAGACAAAAGGACAUGACUAGAUAUUUGAAGUGACCAUACCGAGUUUGGAAAGCUAUUUUCGGAAUGUCACAUUCCCUAACCUUAAGCUGAUGAUAGCCUGAUCUGAGGUUUAUCUUUGAAAACUAACUGGCACCCUGAAGUUGAUCAAACAAGUCAUCGAUUCUAGGAAGUGGAUAUUUAUUCUUGACUGUGACUUUGUUCAACUGACGGUUGUCUAUGCAUAUUCUGAGAGAACCAUCUUUCUUAUGCAUGAAUAGAAUAGGUGCAUCCCAUAGGGAGAUGCUGGGUCUGAUGAAUCCCUUAUCUAAGAGAUCCUUCAACUAUUCUUUCAAUUCUUUGAGUUUGGCUGGAGCUAUUCUGUAUGGCAAAAUAGAUAUCGACUGAGUAUAUGGAAAAAGGUCUAUUUUGAAUUCGAUUUCCCUUUCGGGAGAAACUCCAGGGAGAUCCUCAGGGAAUACAUCUAAAAUUUAUUUACUACUGGAACUGACACAAUAGUUAAAGUUUCUGAGUUAGAGUUUUUGACUCGCCUAAGAUAGUAAAUACACCCCUUCGAUAUCAUCAAUAUCGCUUUGAGGUACGAAAUUAAAUGACCCCUAAGAGCUGUAGUUCUACCUCUCCAUUCAAGGAUUGGUUCAUUUAGGAAAUAAAAAUGAACUAUUCUAUUUCUACAAUCAACUGAGGCAUAGCAUGAGUGGAGCUAAUCCAUGAUGAGAAUGACGUCAAAAUCUUUCAUCUCUAACUCUACGAGAUCAACUGAGAUAACUUUCUGAGAUAUUAUGACCGGACAGCUCCUGUAUACCUAUCGGGCUAUAAUGGAAAUGCCUACUGGGGUAGACACUGAAAAGGGCUCUACUAGAGUUUUAGGACUGACUCUAAAGUUGACGGCUAUACAUAGAGUUACAAAAGAAAGAGAAGCUCUAGGGACUAGUAAAGCAUAAACAUGUAAGUGAAAGACCUACAACGUACUAGUAACUACAUCAGAAGAAUUUUCCUGAUCUUGGUAGGACUGAAGAGCAUAUAAUCUGUUCGGACGCUGACCACUAGUAGCACUGGAAGUGGCACCCUGCUGAGUUGGGCGACCGGAUGAAACUGAUGACUGAUGGGACUGGCCUUGUUAGCGUACAUCCCUACCUUUUUGAGCAACUACCCGACACUCCUAAAUUUGAUAGACUGGCUUUCCAUACCCAAAUCACACUUCACUACCCACUCUACACUCACCUUGAUAGUAUCUUCCAUAUUUCUAUCAUAGGAGAUUUGUACGAGCACUGCUAACACUGUCCUGGGACUUAGAGCCUAGUGCUCUAUCCCUAUUGUCAUUUAUGAAUUUGGGUAUUGAGGCACUGGCUGAAGAUGGUGCUGGGGCUGAAGACCUUUGCUGAAAUGAGGCAGUUACCACCCUCUGACUUUGGCUGACUAAAGUUAAAACUACCCAUCCUAGCCCUCUUAUUUCCUCUCUCCCUUCUUAAUCUUCUACUACUUUAUCUAUUGAGCAUGGACCAUCAGCCUAGACAUGACCAUCUCACUAAUUAGCAUUGCGGUCCUGCACUCCUUGACUACACUGUCAGAUACACCAAAUAUAAACUUACCCAUCUUGGACCUGUUAUCAGAUACCACAUGGGGAGCAUAUCUAGCUAAUUGAGUGCACUUGAGGGAAUACUCUCUCACGCUCAUGCUGCCCUGCCUCAAGUUAAUAAACUCUAACACCUUGGCCUCCCUUAACUCCAAUGGGAAGAAACUAUCUAUGAAUGCUGUGGAAAACUCUUCCCAUUCUACACGCCCUGCAUCUACACCCCUAUCAACCUUCCACUACUUAAAAUAAGUAUGGGAUACAUCCUGCAACUAGUAUGUAUCCAACUUAGCACUCUGACUAGAUGUCACCCCCAAAGCAUCCCUGACCUUCUAAACCAUGUCUAAGAAUUCUUGUGGAUCCCCUUCAGACUUAAACGUUGUGAAUGAAGGAGGGUUCAUCCGGGUAAAGUCCAAAAUUAUUUUUACAGCAGUAUUGGCCUAUAGGUUGGAUGGAAAAACAGCUGGCCAUUCAUUCUAUACUGCUAUAGAGUUUGAUAGAGUGGUAAAUGCAACUUUAAAUUCUGCAUGAGAGACAUGCUCGUCUAGAGGAUAUGCUUAGAUGGGCUAAGGGGCUGGCUGGUUUCCUAUUCUUUUUUCAUUCUUCUUGGGAGGCAUGUUCUGUAAACAAAAGGAAGAAAUGGAUUAUACAGGGAGUUUAACUUGAGCUUAUGCUCACUUGCAUGACAUGAAUACUGAAAGAAGGGAAACUUUUCCUAAAUGCCUCAUAGCCUCUCGCCGAUAAGUGAGGUGUGCUACACACCCAUACACAAGACUCUACAUGACAUGAAUUUCAGACUUCCUUGGAAACUUUAAAACCUUAGGAUCUGAUACCAAGUUUGUAACACCCCUAAAGUAUACCCUGGGAGACAGACGGUAUUUACAGUCCCGAGGGACCGCAAACUAGCCUAUGAGCUGGUACCUGAUGUGAGCACUGGAUAACAUGAUCAUAAAAGCGGAAGAAUACUAACACACCAUAAGGUUUUAAUAACUAAAUUCAAACUAAAAUACGAGUCUACAGAAAUAACAGACUGAAUCUGAUAAAAUAAUGAUAAACUGGAUAACUAACUAUAAUGUCUGAAUACUAAAAAACAGACUCUAAUGUCUGAUAAGCCUAUAAAACCGAAUGAUUGUGAGUUGAUAGGACAGGCCCCAACUAACUCAAACUAACUAUUAUAUGAGACAUGAAAUAAAUUAAGCCCGUCCUCAAAGUAUGAGAACUCACCAUAACUAAUGAUGAGGAUCUAAUAAGUCUAAUUGCGAGCCGGGAACUAAGCAUCAAAGUGUAUGAGGUUUAUCUUAAAUUGGGGUUGCAUUUGGUUAUCAUUGAGGUUCUUCGAUCGAGGUCUAGUACGGUUGGGGAUUUGUAUUAUCAUUGUUUUUUGUUCUGAAUCCAACAAUAUAUUUCUCAAUCGAAUAUGAUGGUUUGAAGAACAAUUGAGGUUAAAUUCUUCUUCUAAUUCUAUUAUUCUUUUGUUUAUCUUAAAUCUAUUGAUGCUAUGAUUAUGUAAUUCGUAUGUGGUUGAUGACGCAUUUUUUAUUAUGUGAUUGAACAAUUCUAUUUGUUUUGGAUUGAUUGAUCAAUUCGAUAUUAAAAUUGGUUAAUUACUUGAGAAUGACUCGAAUUAAUUUUGGGUAAAUAAAAUGGAGGCGAGAAUUGAGAAAUUGAUAAAAUGGUAAAUUUAGAUUAAUUUUGGUUUAUUAUUGUUUUGUUUAAUUAGAAUAAAUGUCAAGUUUGUGAACUUGAUUGGAUCAUAUUCUAGGUCGAUAGCUUAAUAGUAAAAAUUUUAGGUUCGAGUAGGCAAAUUUAUGGAUUGUUGAGUAAUGU
rnacentral:lncRNA from 1 species